AGUCGAACGAACUCUGGUAAUGAUUGGUGCUUGCAUCGUGAAUUACAUUUGAGUGAGUGGCGAACUGGUGAGUAACACGUGGGAAACCUGCCCAGAAGCGGGGGAUAACACCUGGAAACAGAUGCUAAUACCGCAUAACAACUUGGACCGCAUGGUCCGAGUUUGAAAGAUGGCUUCGGCUAUCACUUUUGGAUGGUCCCGCGGCGUAUUAGCUAGAUGGUGAGGUAACGGCUCACCAUGGCAAUGAUACGUAGCCGACCUGAGAGGGUAAUCGGCCACAUUGGGACUGAGACACGGCCCAAACUCCUACGGGAGGCAGCAGUAGGGAAUCUUCCACAAUGGACGAAAGUCUGAUGGAGCAACGCCGCGUGAGUGAAGAAGGGUUUCGGCUCGUAAAACUCUGUUGUUAAAGAAGAACAUAUCUGAGAGUAACUGUUCAGGUAUUGACGGUAUUUAACCAGAAAGCCACGGCUAACUACGUGCCAGCAGCCGCGGUAAUACGUAGGUGGCAAGCGUUGUCCGGAUUUAUUGGGCGUAAAGCGAGCGCAGGCGGUUUUUUAAGUCUGAUGUGAAAGCCUUCGGCUCAACCGAAGAAGUGCAUCGGAAACUGGGAAACUUGAGUGCAGAAGAGGACAGUGGAACUCCAUGUGUAGCGGUGAAAUGCGUAGAUAUAUGGAAGAACACCAGUGGCGAAGGCGGCUGUCUGGCUGUAACUGACGCUGAGGCU
rnacentral:rRNA from 1 species